UAAUACGUAGGGGGCUAGCGUUGUCCGGAUUUAUUGGGCGUAAAGAGCGCGUAGGCGGCCGAGUAAGUCCGACGUGAAAUCUGGAGGCUCAACCUCCAACGGUCGUUGGAAACUACUCGGCUAGAGUCCGGAAGAGGAGAGUGGAAUUCCUGGUGUAGCGGUGAAAUGCGCAGAUAUCAGGAAGAACACCGAUGGCGAAAGCAGCUCUCUGGGACGGUACUGACGCUGAGGCGCGAAAGCGUGGGGAGCGAACAGGA
rnacentral:rRNA from 1 species